rnacentral:tRNA from 1 species
GUCCUCGUAGCUUACACAAAGCAUGCCACU